AAUCGGUUUGAGAGUAAAUAGGGAUCAAUUUCUCCUUUUCAAUUCAAAAAGAAUUGGUUGGCGGCCAUGGCUGCUGCUGCAUGCGUGCUCCACGUGUCUUUUUUCGGGGAAGGAAGAUUUUUUGGGGGUCAGAGCACUAGGAGGAGGAAGAUUUGUUUUUUUUUUAGCGAACCAGGAGGAGGAAGAUGGGACUGUGGCCACGAGUUGGGCCAGAAGAGGUGCAGCCCAGUAAGAAAAGAAAAGGAGAGAAGGGAGCAGGUGGGCUGCGGCCCAAAGAGAAAGAGAGAAGGGCGAAGCUGGGCUUUAGCCCAAGAUGAGGGGAGGUAGAAACAAAAUGAUUUUUCUUUUCCGAAAAAUAAGAAGAGUUCCAAAUAAAUACCA
rnacentral:lncRNA from 1 species